rnacentral:rRNA from 1 species
GCCCUUGGAUAGGAAUACCCCCGGGAAACUGGGGCUAAUUCCCAAUAAGGUGAAAGACUCUGGAAUGAGUCUCCACCCGAAAAGAGCUUACGUUAUGCUCGUAAGUUUCGCCCCAAGGAUGAGGCCGCGCCCGAUCAGGUUGUUGGCGAGGUAAUGGCUCACCAAGCCUUUUACCGGUGCGGGCCGUGGGAGCGGGAGCCCGGAGAUGGGUACUGAGACAAGGACCCAGGCCCUACGGGGCGCAGCAGUCGCGAAAACUUUGCAAUAAGCGCAAGCUUGACAGGGCUAUCCCGAGUGCCAUCCGCUGAGGAAGGCUUUUACCCAGUCUAGAACGCUGGGGGAAUAAGGAGAGGGCAAGUCUGGUGUCAGCCGCCGCGGUAAUACCAGCUCUCCGAGUGGUGUGGAUGUUUAUUGGGCCUAAAGCAUCCGUAGCUGGCUAAGUUAGUCCCCUGUUAAAUCAACCGAAUUAAUCGUUGGAUCGCGGGGGAUACUGCUUGGCUAGGGGACGAGAGAGGCAGACGGUAUUUUCGGGGUAGGGGUGAAAUCCUAUAAUCCCGGGAAGACCACCAGUGGCGAAGGCUGUCAGCUAGAACGCGCCCGACGGUGAGGGAUGAAAGCUGGGGGAGCGAACCGGAUUAGAUACCC